rnacentral:rRNA from 1 species
GGGGGUGCUAUAAUGCAAGUCGAGCGGACCGACGGGAGCUUGCUCCCUUAUGUCAGCGGCGGACGGGUGAGUAACACGUGGGUAACCUGCCUGUAAGACUGGGAUAACUCCGGGAAACCGGGGCUAAUACCGGAUGCUUGAUUGAACCGCAUGGUUCAAUUAUAAAAGGUGGCUUUUAGCUACCACUUACAGAUGGACCCGCGGCGCAUUAGCUAGUUGGUGAGGUAACGGCUCACCAAGGCAACGAUGCGUAGCCGACCUGAGAGGGUGAUCGGCCACACUGGGACUGAGACACGGCCCAGACUCCUACGGGAGGCAGCAGUAGGGAAUCUUCCGCAAUGGACGAAAGUCUGACGGAGCAACGCCGCGUGAGUGAUGAAGGUUUUCGGAUCGUAAAACUCUGUUGUUAGGGAAGAACAAGUACCGUUCGAAUAGGGCGGUACCUUGACGGUACCUAACCAGAAAGCCACGGCUAACUACGUGCCAGCAGCCGCGGUAAUACGUAGGUGGCAAGCGUUGUCCGGAAUUAUUGGGCGUAAAGCGCGCGCAGGCGGUUUCUUAAGUCUGAUGUGAAAGCCCCCGGCUCAACCGGGGAGGGUCAUUGGAAACUGGGGAACUUGAGUGCAGAAGAGGAGAGUGGAAUUCCACGUGUAGCGGUGAAAUGCGUAGAGAUGUGGAGGAACACCAGUGGCGAAGGCGACUCUCUGGUCUGUAACUGACGCUGAGGCGCGAAAGCGUGGGGAGCGAACAGGAUUAGAUACCCUGGUAGUCCACGCCGUAAACGAUGAGUGCUAAGUGUUAGAGGGUUUCCGCCCUUUAGUGCUGCAGCAAACGCAUUAAGCACUCCGCCUGGGGAGUACGGUCGCAAGACUGAAACUCAAAGGAAUUGACGGGGGCCCGCAC